rnacentral:pre_miRNA from 1 species
GUACUAUUCCCUCCGUCCCAAAAUUCUUGUCUUACAUUUGUUUAGAUACAGAUGUAUCUAACACUAAAAUGUAACUAGAUACAUCCGUAUUUAGACAAAUUUAAGACAAGAAUUUUGGGACGGAGGGAGUACAAA